ensembl:lncRNA novel transcript
GAUUUCUGGCGUGAGCAGAGAGCACUUUGGGGAAGUAAGAAAGGCCCCCGAUCAUGGGUGCUGGACAUUUUCUGGAAGAAGGAUGAAGAGGGAGGGAGUGGCUGGAGCCGUGCUCUGGGUCACAUGGACAUUCGUGAUGCCCUCGCUGUAGGUGCCCGAGGUGCUGAGUCCAGGGCCUUCCAGUGCCAGCUUCAAGCGAUGGCCCUGCCACAUGCCUCUGUGUGAGCUCACACAGGUCACUUUCCUCUCUGAGCCUCAAGAGUUAUGAUAAACCAGAGAAACCCAACCUCCCAGGAGAGGUUCCCUUCCUCCUGGCAUCUCUGGCUUAAGACCUGCAGCCCUGGAAGCAGGCAUCGGAUUGGCUGGGCCCUGCUCUCACCCCUGCCAUGUGGUAGACCAGGCAGUGGCAGAGUCAGGUUGGAGCCCACCCUGGUCUUUGUCGUGUGAAAGGGCAGUGAGAGGGAGGCAAGGGGGAUCGCCCUCCUGCCAAGACUCUACCCAUCAGGAAAUUCCCCAAAAAGGAUGCUUCUCAGGAUGGAGGCAGGGGCUGGAGACCCACCAAUAUCACACAUGUGCAAUCUAGGCUGUUUGAUUUUAAAGUCCUUUUUAAAAAUUUUCUUUUGAGACAGAGUCUCACUCUGUCGCCCACGCUGGAGGGCAGUGGUGCAUUUCAUGGCUCACUGCAGCCUCCACCUCUGAGGUUCUAGUGAUUCUCCUGUCUCAGCCUCUCGAGUAGCUGGGAUUACAGGUGCACACCACCACACCCGGCUAAAUUUUGCAUUUUUACUAGAGACAGGGUUUCACCUUGUUGGCCAGGCUAGUCUCGAACUUCUGACCUCUGGUGAUCCAUGCACCUCAGCCUCCCAAAGUGCUGAGAUUACAGGCAUGACCCACCGCGCCCAGCCUAAAAGUCACUUUUUCAUCACUUUUUCAUCCACUGAUGUCAGCUUAGGCUGACAUCAAUGUGGUGAGGUGCAGAGGGUAUGGGCCAGGGGCUUUAAGGCUUAGGUCUUCCAGGGGGUGGCCAGGGGUUCUUGCUUUGGCCCUUCCCAAGAUUUCCAUCUGUGAAAUGUGUCUGUUGGGCCCAGCCUUCAGGGCAGUAGGAUUGUCUGAAAUUCUAGUGUUCAUCAGGGUUUACGCUGUCUAUCCUGUUUGUUUAUUUUUGAGACGGAGUCACUCGGUCGCUCAGGCUGGAGUGAAGUGGCAUGAUCUCGGCUCACUGCAACCUCCGCCUCCUGGGUUCAAGUGAUUCUCCUGCCUCAGCCUCCCAAGCAGGUGAGAUUACAGGCACCCACCACCAUACCCGGCUAAUUUUUGUAUUUUUACUAGAGGCGGGAUUUCACCAUGUUGGCCAGGCUGGUCUCGAACUCCUGACCUCAGGUGAUCCGCCUGCCUCGGCCUCCCAAAGUGCUGGGAUUAUAGGCGUGAGCCACCACACCCAGCCUAUUUAUUUAUUUGUUUAGAGACAGGGUCUCACUCUAUGGCCCAGGCUAGAGUACAGUUGCACGAUCAUAGCUCACUGCAGCCUCAGACUCCUGGGCUCAAGUGAUGCUCCACCUCGGCCUCACAACGUGCUAGGAUUACAGGAGUGAGCCACCGUGCCCAGCCAUACCACCUGGUGUUCUGGCCACGUCCCUACCCCCAACACUGGGCUUCAGGUUCCUUGGCCCUGGACAGAGGCCCAGUGAAUAAGAAGAGAGGGACAAGGCCAGCAGCAGGCCUGCCACCAAGGAGCCGGACAGUGCCCACCUUUCUCCUGGAAUGUUAGACCCAGGGGAGAUGGUGCUGAGGCUGGUUUCUUCCCCAAACUGCCUUCUCCUUUCCAUCUGCAAAAUGGGAAUAAGACACCUGUCAUCAGCCAUUGCGAUGCCACCGGGAUCUCACGGCAUGGCUCUGAGAGUCAUUGAAAAAGGCACCAAGCUCAGCAAAGGUGUUAUUACUAUUAUUAUUGACCAUAAAAUACUUGACAAAUGAUUGCAGAGUCUGCCAGAGAAGAGUCUGCCUGUCUGGGGAGAGAUUUUAGGGCUGCUUUAAGAGUCUUUUGGAAGCACAAACCCCAGCAGAGGGAGCCGGCUCCAUGGAAGCCUUCAGGAGCAGAGAGGCCCGGGGCUGGGAAGUCUUUGAUUACCUUACAUCUGUUUUUAUGGAAACUUCUGGGAGCAGCCGAGGGGAAACGGAACUGUAAACAGCACAGCCGGCGUGGCCUCCCCACCAGAUUGUUAAUGGGGAAUCGCCCGCGUGGCUCCCCUCGCUGGCGAGGGUUUGGCCCCUGGUCUGUGGCAGGAGUGAUUAAAGGAUAUGAGCACGCAGAGAGCAAACCCAGCCACAGAAGACGAAUCAGGGUUUUAUGCCCCUCGGUUCUGCGC